ACCUCGGUGAUGUAGUGGUGAGAGCACGCGUCCAGAAAAGGAUGAAACACGGGUUCGAUUCCCGCCUGAGGCC